GUGAAUCAUCGAAUCUUUGAACGCAAAUUGCACUCUCUUCUGAGGGUAUGCCUGUUCGAGUGUCAGUAUUAAUAAAAAUCGGCGUGUUGCCCCUGUGUGGGGUUCCGGAGUUUGGGUCAUCUUAUAACAACACCCUUUCAGGGUUUUUUUAAGAGGCUUAGAAUUGUCCUUUUUUGUGCAUUUUAGACGUACAUAUAUUUUUUUUUAUUAUUCUAUCUUACUGUUAAAUCUCUAUUAGAUGCGACCAUAUCGUGU
rnacentral:misc_RNA from 1 species